UGCAUAAGCUGAGCCUGUCGUCUCUAUGAUGCAUAAGCUGAGCUUGUGUUCUUAAUAUGUCUGAACUGAAACUGUUAAGGCUAUGAUGCAUAAGCUGAGCCUACUGUGAUGAUGAUUGUAUUUUGAGGGUACAUAGAAGAUCCGAGUAGCAUCUUGGCGGGGCAAUAUCCAGGUUGCAUAGUUCUCACUUUGCAACCGUGUGUUGCAGCCAUGGCUUUACCUGUAGUUGUGUUCAUCUCUCA
rnacentral:lncRNA from 1 species